UAGUAUGUAGCGUUGGCUAAUUAGUUUUUCGUUGCACGUUGCACUAAUGGCUCGUUUGUGUAUCCUUGGAUGCUGUUUUGGAUCUGUUUACUGCCCUUCCUGCAGGUAUGAGGAAGUUGUUUAGCAAUGUUUAGCUUUAACGGGUGUCAGGUGGCGUGAGUAAUGUGCAGUCCUUGAACUUCAGUUUAACAGCAGGUUAUUUGAAGGCUGCGUAUCCUGAGCGGUGAAUUGAUUUUCAGGAACUUAUCUAUCCGCGUUUGGUAAGUUGUUUCGGUUUGUUAGGGGGAAUUACAGCAUGUAGUUGUGCAAUUACUUGUAUCAUUUAUAUCUUGUAUCAUCGUUUGUAUUAUAUUUUCGUCCUGGGUGAUUAUUGCUGCGAUUCGACUUUUCCCUUGCUGCGUGCCGAGUGAACAACCUCGGUUUACAACUAUUUAAAAGGGGACUUCUGCUGCUGCCGUUUGGCUUUUGUGAUUUGUUUUUAACUGGUAUUGUCUGGCCUACUGUGGGGUGGAGCAACAUGCAAGUAUCGGGGCUGGCUUAAGGACGACGUGGCCGCUCCUUUUGAGUUUUGCUUCCCUCAAACUUUUAAUAAAGUUUUUCAUUGUUUUUCUUUGUAAGAGGUGUAUAUGGUAAAUCAUAUUGUGCUUCGGUGACUGUCCAUACGUUUGCCGUGCGACACUUUUGACGUGUAUGAGUGGGUGCUCUGAGUUCACGGUGUGUGUGUGUGUGUGUGUGUGUGUGUGUGUGUGUGUGUGUGUGUGUGUGUGUGUGUGUGUGUGUGGAAGUGUGCUUUUGAUAAUUAGUGCUGAUCACUCCGUGGGUAACCCCAGCCCUGUAUUUAAGGAUUCUAUUUUGUUUUGUUUAUUUGGAAGUUGUGUAAAUUGGUUGUUUAAUAUUUCGUGUCGGAUUGUUUAUUUUUGUUAUUUGUGUAAUUGUCACCGGACCGUUUUUACCAUUGAGAAUAUUUUCUUUUCAUUCUAUUUUAAUUUCAAGUUUUCAAUAAACUUUGUAUUUUUUAUACGAUGCCCACGUUUCCUGCCUACACUCAUUAAUAAGGGAAUCGAACUUGUGUGAUAUAAUAAACUAGGGGGUUUACUUCUAUUUCCUGGGUGUAACCCUCCCAGGGGGCAUAGUCGAAUUGGUUAAGUAUAUAAAGUUGAGCUUGGGUGUGACGAGCCGUUCGGCUUUCACCCCUAGGCCCCCACCCCUCUCGCCACACAGGCUUUGACAUUUGCGUAUAAUGCCACGGUGCAUGAAACCACUGGAUAUGCCCCAUUUCAGUUAAUGUUUGGUUGUAUCCCAAAGUUGCCAGUUAAUGUCAUUUUUUUUUACCCUAUGGUUGUUGACAAUAGUAACUAUGUGCAAACACUAAUGUCUUACCUCAAAGAAGCAGCAUGCAUUGUUUAGAAACAUACUGAAAAAGAGCAGAGAAGCAGGCCAACUUCUAUAAUCGAAAAGUUAAGGGUAUAUGUUUGAAACAUUGGGGAUAGUGUUGCUUGCCAACAAGGGUGAGAGAGGAAAGAAAAAACUUGCUGAUAGGUGGGAUUUAAGUGUCUAUACUGUAAAGGAACUGGAUCUUAGGGUGAACAUAUACAAAUUGAUUGAUGGGAAGGUUAGGUCAAAAGUGGUGCAUCGCAAUCUAAUCAUUUUGGACAUCAGUUUUCUACCCAUUGAACCAACCCAAGAGGAGAAUGUUUAGUCAAGUGCUGGGAACGUGGAGACCAUACCUUGUAUGUUGGAACUGUCCCAAUCAAUGGAGGGAAAAGGUUCUGAUGAUAGGAUGAAAGCAUGGGUGUUUAAUGAACAGGGAGAAGUCAAGGGUCAAAAGUCUGUUGGUGGUGAUUUGGAAUCUGAUUUUUUUCAGCAGAAUGGCAUAAUUCAAAUGAGGUUGUUGGAGAUUGUUCUGAUCAAGUGUAUGAUGUAAUAGUGAAUCCUACCCUAGUAACUUAGACCAGCAAGUAAGGGCUGUGAAUGACUCUAAUACUAAUCCUAUUACUGACAUGCCAACAAACGUUUCAGAUGACACACAGAGUGAUAGGACUCGAGAGGGUGGUCAAAAGGGUUAGUCGUUUGAGUCCAUGACACAGAAGUCGCCAGUAGUGAAGAGGACAGGAUCGAUUCUUUCUCAGUUUUAAGGAAAAGGUUUUUUCUUUUCUUUAGCAUAGUGUUGUGAAAAAGAUGUGCACAAUGUGGAGUUUAUAAAGUAUGAUGGAUCAGAUUAAUGAAUACUGUAAAAGGCAGUAUGACGUUCUAAAAAUGUCCAGGACUAGACCAACCUUGGAUUGGUCUAGUCUAUAUACUUAUAUACUUAAUCUGUUAAGCAGUUUAUUUACUAUGUUGAACUACAAGCAAGUUAUUGUGAAUCUGAUUCUAUUGUUUACAUAGUCUAAUCCAGUCAGGAUUCUAGUGAAAUUCAGGAGGGGUGAAUGUGACUGAUGUUAAUCUUCAUGUAUGUAUAUUUACACUGUAAACAAAUGCAUUUCACUAAUAAUUAUUUCUAUUUGUUUAAUUUGCUUUAAUUUGUUUAAUAUGUUUUAUGUCCUGUUUAAAUUGAUUAGUUCUGUUUUCCUUGCGAAUUAAGUUGUGCUACCUCAUGAUGUAAUCCGGGAAGCCUGCGCUGGAUCUUCAUCUUACUUUGUGCGUACUGAGAAGAGAAUUGUUUAAGUGUUGGUGACACUAAACUCCCCAGUACUGCUGUGACCCUGUUGUAGCGACUCGUCAUUCCACAACACAACGCAGAGAACACGAGCACCAGUCAGAACCGAACCCGACCGGUUACAUUCACACUGCUGAUUUAUGACUAAGAACAGCUCCAAUCAUAUCAUCCAGUUCACCAAUGACAUGACCGUGCUUCUACUCAGAUCUCAGCAUGUUUUCAUGGAUGAGUGUUCAUUAGCUGUACCUCAGUCCUUGCUAAACUGAACUGCUGGUCCUCCCAGUUGAUUCCAGGUGAUCUGGAGGUCAGGAUCUCAGGAUAACGCUACACAACUCUCUGAUCUUCUCUUCAGCCUCUGCUCGCAACAUCUGGGUGCUUGUUCAGUCUCUUGUCAUUUUGAAACUGGAUUACUGCAACACUCUGCUGCAGAUCUACCUCUCAACACAAAUGAUUCAAAACACAGCUGCAUGACUUGUGUUCAACCUGCCUAAGUUCACCCACACAACCUCACUGCUGCUUCCUCCACCAGCUUCCAGAAGCUGCAAAUAAAAAAUGGACCAGCACCCUCUUACCUCAAAG